rnacentral:rRNA from 1 species
AUACGGAAGGUCCGGGCGUUAUCCGGAUUUAUUGGGUUUAAAGGGAGCGCAGGCGGGAUUUUAAGCGUGACGUGAAAUGUAGAUGCUCAACAUCUGAACUGCGUCGCGAACUGGUUUCCUUGAGUGCAUUCGCCGUCAGCGGAAUUUGUGGUGUAGCGGUGAAAUGCUUAGAUAUCACGAAGAACUCCGAUUGCGAAGGCAGCUGACGAGACUGUAACUGACGCUAAAGCUCGAAAGUGCGGGUAUCGAACAGGAUUAGAUACCCUGGUAGUCCGCACGGUAAACGAUGGAUGCCCGCUGUUUGCGAUAUAUUGUAAGCGGCCAAGCGAAAGCGUUAAGCAUCCCACCUGGGGAGUACGCCGGCAACGGUGAAACUCAAAUGAAUUGACGGGG